AAUAUUUGACAAUGGGCGAAAGCCUGAUCCAGCCAUGCCGCGUGUGUGAAGAAGGUCUGCGCCUUGUAAAGCACUCUACGUUGGGAGGAAUGUAAGUCACUCAUUACCUAGCAAUUUUGCCGUUACAUAUGCAAUAAGCACCGGCUAACUUCGUCCAAGCAGCCGCGGUAAUACGAAGGGUGCAAGCGUUAAUCGGAAUUACUGGGCUUAAAGGGCGCGUAGGUGGUUUGUUAAGUUAGAAGUGAAAGCCCGGGGCUUAACCGUGGAAUUGCUUUAAAAACUGAUGAGCUAGAGUAAGGUAGAAGUGAGUGGAAUUUCCAGUGUAGCGGUGAAAUGCGUAGAUAUUGGAAGGAACAUCGGUGGCGAAGGCGACUACCUGGACAGAUACUGACACUGAGGUGCGAAAGCGUGGGGAGCAAACAGG
rnacentral:rRNA from 1 species